GAAAAAGCGAUGAUGAGAAGGAGUACUUUCCGGUAACAUCCCAGAGAGAAGAUGGCAGGUGUAAAUCUUUAUGAAGCCGGUUAGGAAGCAGUCCCGGAGCAGCAGAGUCCAAAGGUGCAGCUUAGUAGAUUCUGACGGGUUCUCCCGUUACAGAGAAAUGGCAUGAUAGUGUCAGCAGAGUGCAGAAAGAAUUACUUUCUGAAAUUAGGUGGUAACACGGACAUGGUUCGCCCUAAAC
rnacentral:ncRNA from 1 species